AUCUUUUGGGGGCUCAUCUGUGUGAUAAUUGGGUUUUCCUACCGCCGUGUGAGAUGCGCCUUGCAUAAACCCUGUUGAACAUCGGGUAGACAGUAUUGUGUAUCUGAGG
rnacentral:snoRNA from 1 species